AACAUGGCCACUUUGAGCAGCUCUACAGGUGUCCUGAUUAGCUGCUUGCUUCUCUUCAGUCCUCUGUUGCUGAUUGGAUGCAAGGGGUGUGCGGACACGGACCCGUGUUGCCUGAACAAGCGCAUCGUGACACGCCGGGAUCACGUCUGCCGCGCCGCCACCA